UAUCAAUAUCAACCUAGAAAUAAUAGGAGAUGAUUCAUGAAUCAAGUUAGGUGAAAUAUAGUAUAUUACAGAAGUCAAUUCUAAUUUUUGUUUUCAUUUUUUCCUCCCUGCAUUCCAAGACCCAUAACUGAGCAUAACAUGUCCCAU